rnacentral:miRNA from 1 species
AUCUGAAGAAAUGUGAUGAUGUCAUCAGAAAAAGUGAUGAUGUCAUCGAAGAAUGUGACAUCAUCACUUUCUUUGAUGACAUCAUCACUCUCU